rnacentral:rRNA from 1 species
AUUGAACGCUAGCGGGAUGCUUUACACAUGCAAGUCGAACGAGUGGCGGACGGGUGAGUAAUAUAUCGGAACGUGCCCAGUAGAGGGGGAUAACUACUCGAAAGAUUGGCUAAUCCAGCAUACUAUUGGAGCGGCCGAUAUUGGAUUAGCUAGUUGGGGGUGUAAAGGAUCACCAAGGCAACGAUCCUUAGCUGGUUUGAGAGGACGAGGAGCCACACUGGGACUGAGACACGGCCCAGACUCCUACGAGGGGCAUAAGUGGGGAAUGUUGGACAAUGGGGGAAACCCUUAUCCAGCCAUCCCGCGUGUUUGAGAAGGCCGUCGGGUUGUAAAGUAAUUUUGGCAGAGAAGCGGUAUCUGCAGAAGAAGCACCGGCUAACUACGUGCCAGCCGCCGCGGUAAUAC